AGAGACUGGGGAAAAGAAGAUGUAUAUAGUGCUGGGUUUUAUUUUUCAUUUCCUUUUGUUCCUUUUUUUUUUUUAAGAAAAAACAAAAAGUUGUUUGAUUUCUAAUGUCUUGAUGUAAACCAAAUAAAAAUGGUUCUGUACAUUCAGAAGUGAAGAACAGCUGAAAGGUGACAAGUAUAAUAAAGAAGCACUGACCUUCAGGCUACUAUAACCAUUUCCCCAGACUUUUCCCACAGGAUUGGAGGGCAGAGCUGUGCCUGUGCCUGCACAGAGGUGCUGGGAUGGUGACCUUGGGGCUGGCUCCCUGAUCCAACUGUGAGUGCAGCACAGAAGAGGUGGGCAGUAGAGGUGGAAGUGAUGGUAUGUAAGUAACUUUUCAGUGUUUGAUCCCACCACCCCUGAGGCCAGCGGGAGGAGGCUGUGUGCUAAACCCCAGUCUCUUGUGCACAGGGUCUCUUCCCAGAGGCAGCUGCAUCAUGCCUGACUGUAGCUGGAGCCGUAGUGAGGAGGGGAGGAUGGUGUCAGCUGUCCCCUGGAUAAAUGGGGAAAUGCAGAUGGAGUAAAGGCAGUGGGAGCCUGAACUGGAAUUGCCUGUGUUGUGUUUAGUGCUUUGGAAAAGCAGAGGACAGUCUUGCCUCCAUGGGGCAGAAAGGGUGGCUUCUCUGCAGCAGGGUCAAUAAAUGUCCUGUUGUUUGUGUUAUUGCAGCAAGACAAAAAGGAAAAAAACAAAGCAAACCAACACUUUAUGUGUAAGCCAGACCUAAGGGGAGUCUCAGUCCUCUUAGGAAAGGCCAUUCUUCAGCAGAAAGGCUGGAGUGCAUCAGUGUGGGGCAGCCCCAGAGCCCCAUCAGCCCUUUCUGCUGCUGACCAGGCCACCAGGACUGGUGGGGAGCCAAGGGCAGCUGCUUUGCUGAGACUAAACAACGGGGACCUGUGUGAGCACAAGCUCCUGAACUGCACUGUGCUCUGCCACAAAGUGCAGUGCCUUGCUCCCAGAAUCUGGGAGUGUCACCACAGAGACAGUGGACCCAGAGCAUCCCAAAGCUCCCCUCCCCAGCCCCAUGCCAUGGGCUGGCUGCUCCCAUCUAAGACAGCCACAGCUUGCCAGUGCCGGGGGCAGAAAGCACUCGCUGAAUAAUACUGAAUAUGUGUGUGACAAAGUGAGGAGAGGAGACAUGAUAGACCCAUUUAUGAUCCAGGGAUACACAUUUUAUCAUUUGCACAGGCUGAGCUUGGCAUUUAUGCUGACAGACUUUUUCCCCAGAAUGGAUGAAACUGUAUAGUGGUGAGUAUCGUUGAUUUUUUUGAAGGGGAUGGUAAUUGCUCUUCUAGUAUGUGUUUUAAACAGUGUUGGUUUGCCUUCUGUGAAGCCUAAUGCUUCCCAGCUCUCAGUGCUCUAAUGUGGGGAGUUAAUUGUUUCACUUAAUUAGAUGCUGGGUCCAUGUGUUUUUGGGAACCUUGCUGGGUGUCUGAUGCAGUGUCCAGGCACAAAGACCAAAGAUCUUUUCCUUGGCUUUCCCAGCCCUCUGGACAUGCCUUGCCCACUGUGUGCCCUGCUGGAUUUGCCAUCACGUGGCUCAUGGUGCCCAGCCCUGGUGCUGAUGGGCCUGCAGGGAGGGUCUGGGGACCCCUGAGCUGGGGGAAGCCAGGCCAGCAGGGAAGGAGAGCGUGCUUUGUUGUGAUGCUGCUGCUCCCUGGGGCCUCAGGCAAGGGCAGUGGCUGGUUUGCAGCAGCAGGAACAGCCUGGCUCAGGUUGGCAGAGGCUCUUCUCUCUGUGCCUGCUCUCCUGCCUACAGAGCAGGGAGCUGGCACUGCCCCUGCACUGACAGAUGCUCUGCUCCACGUUGGGAUGAACCUGCUUGUCUUGGCUCUGGCCUUAAGGCAGUCCUCUCAUCUCACCUGUAGGGAUGGUGCCUUGGGCUGGGCUUUUCUCCCUCACCACCACCCCCUGGCUGUGCUGGAGCCCUGCCAAGGCAAUGGCCCCUCCUGGCGAGACCAGAGGCCUCAGUGCAGGGGCAAGCAGGGAACUCCUGGAGCACAAUAUCGUGACAUGUCAGGUGGGGGCCCAAGGUGCACUUUGGGAGAGAGCUGGUGCUGCCACAAGUGGUGAUGCUUUAACCUCUUCUCCAGAAACAGUGUCCUACAGGACCCGAAAGUCUGGGGACUACUGUGCUACCUGCCUCAGGGACAGCUGGGGACCCACGGGGGCUGUUUUGGACAGGAGCAGGUCUUCUGCUAGUGCAGCUUUCAGGCUUUUGUCAGACAUCUUGGCACCCUUGUGGCCCUUGAGUUUUGAGGCAGACAGAAGGAAGAUGUGUCCCACAGCCUCUCACAAGCAGAGACUGGGCACAAAUCCCUGAGUUUCAGCCCCUGCCAAGGCUAGCAAGGUUAGCAAGGCAAUUGGCAACCUUUCCCUCUCCCCUUUCCCUUGCACUGCAGCAAGAAAGGGAUGGACAAAGCAGAGAUCAAACCCACACAGUCCCAGCCCUGCAAAGCCCCGUGUCUUGCUCAAGUCUGAGCACAGGAGCAGACCUGACAGCUGCACCUUGAAAUCCUGCCUGGAAAACUCCUUGAAAUCCUGCCUGGAUCUGACAGCCUCACUGGGCUGGGCCGGUGUGCUUGGCAGGCCCAAAGGGGAGAUUCUGAGGGAGCAAACCCCCAGAAAGAUUCAGCAGUUGUCACAGAGAAUGGUUUCUAAUCUGGGAGGAUGAGCAGCUAGGUGCUAGAGGAGAAAAUGGAAAAACUGAGGAUAAAGGAAAGCCUGAGAAGUCACCCAGAAAUAUCCCAGCCUCUGGCAAAUACACGUGGCCCUGGUGGCAGGGCUGUGGUUGGUCUGUGGGGUGGGUUGUUUUACUUUUAUUUUCUUUUUCUACUGCCUGGCAUGUCAUCAUAUUGUGUCUUUGUGUGAAAUCACAUCCCCUGCCAAAAGAGAACCCAGUUCCUGGAGGGCAAACACCCUUUCACGGUGUGCUCACUACAGGGAUGUUGCACCAAAAAAAAGACAUGAAAACAGGGCUGGGGCAUCCUUCCCAGGAAAAUCUGUUCCAUUUCUGGCCCAUCCUCUCCAGCUGCACCCAUCCAUCUCCCUCCCAAAGACGAAGGAGCUGCGGUGUCUUCUCUGACUGGGGACAAUUGCUGUGGCCUGAAAUCCAAACAGCUGAACAGCAAGAGGGCAGGAGGAUCAAUGUCAGUGUCAAUGUGCUAUCAAAGGGACUGCUGUGAACCAUCUUAACAUGCUCUGAGUGGCUGCGUUGCAUCCUUUUAAAUUUUAUAAAAAAAAAAAAAAAAAAGAAAAAAAAAAGAAAGAAAAAAAAAAAAACCAACCCAGAACAAACCACCCAUUUUUAUGAUCUUUAAUUUGCUUUUUCUGCAUGAAAUAAGACCUUGAUCCUUGUCUUUUUUCACAAAAGCAGAUUCUGCUUUAACCAAUGUAAAAAAAAAAAAGAAAAAAAAA
rnacentral:lncRNA from 1 species